rnacentral:rRNA from 1 species
UACGAAGGGUGCAAACGUUGCUCGGAAUUAUUGGGCGUAAAGCGCACGUAGGCGGCUUAGCAGGUCGGAUGUGAAAUCCCUCGGCUCAACCAAGGAAGUGCAUCCGAAACUGCUGAGCUUGAGUACGAAAGAGGAUCGCGGAAUUCCCGGUGUAGAGGUGAAAUUCGUAGAUAUCGGGAGGAACACCAGUGGCGAAGGCGGCGAUCUGGGUCGAUACUGACACUGAGAUGCGAAAGCGUGGGGAGCGAACAGG